rnacentral:rRNA from 1 species
GACGAACGCUGGCGGCGUGCCUAAUACAUGCAAGUUGUUCGCUGAAGGUUGGUACUUGUACCAACUGGAUGAGCAGCGAACGGGUGAGUAACGCGUGGGGAAUCUGCCUUUGAGCGGGGGACAACAUUUGGAAACGAAUGCUAAUACCGCAUAAAAACUUUAAACACAAGUUUUAAGUUUGAAAGAUGCAAUUGCAUCACUCAAAGAUGAUCCCGCGUUGUAUUAGCUAGUUGGUGAGGUAAAGGCUCACCAAGGCGAUGAUACAUAGCCGACCUGAGAGGGUGAUCGGCCACAUUGGGACUGAGACACGGCCCAAACUCCUACGGGAGGCAGCAGUAGGGAAUCUUCGGCAAUGGACGAAAGUCUGACCGAGCAACGCCGCGUGAGUGAAGAAGGUUUUCGGAUCGUAAAACUCUGUUGGUAGAGAAGAACGUUGGUGAGAGUGGAAAGCUCAUCAAGUGACGGUAACUACCCAGAAAGGGACGGCUAACUACGUGCCAGCAGCCGCGGUAAUACGUAGGUCCCGAGCGUUGUCCGGAUUUAUUGGGCGUAAAGCGAGCGCAGGUGGUUUAUUAAGUCUGGUGUAAAAGGCAGUGGCUCAACCAUUGUAUGCAUUGGAAACUGGUAGACUUGAGUGCAGGAGAGGAGAGUGGAAUUCCAUGUGUAGCGGUGAAAUGCGUAGAUAUAUGGAGGAACACCGGUGGCGAAAGCGGCUCUCUGGCCUGUAACUGACACUGAGGCUCGAAAGCGUGGGGAGCAAACAGGAUUAGAUACCCUGGUAGUCCACGCCGUAAACGAUGAGUGCUAGAUGUAGGGAGCUAUAAGUUCCCUGUAUCGCAGCUAACGCAAUAAGCACUCCGCCUGGGGAGUACGACCGCAAGGUUGAAACUCAAAGGAAUUGACGGGGGCCCGCACAAGCGGUGGAGCAUGUGGUUUAAUUCGAAGCGACGCGAAGAACCUUACCAGGUCUUGACAUACUCGUGCUAUUCCUAGAGAUAGGAAGUUCCUUCGGGACACGGGAUACAGGUGGUGCAUGGUUGUCGUCAGCUCGUGUCGUGAGAUGUUGGGUUAAGUCCCGCAACGAGCGCAACCCCUAUUGUUAGUUGCCAUCAUUAAGUUGGGCACUCUAACGAGACUGCCGGUGAUAAACCGGAGGAAGGUGGGGAUGACGUCAAAUCAUCAUGCCCCUUAUGACCUGGGCUACACACGUGCUACAAUGGAUGGUACAACGAGUCGCGAGACAGUGAUGUUUAGCUAAUCUCUUAAAACCAUUCUCAGUUCGGAUUGUAGGCUGCAACUCGCCUACAUGAAGUCGGAAUCGCUAGUAAUCGCGGAUCAGCACGCCGCGGUGAACACGAUCGCGGGCCU